rnacentral:rRNA from 1 species
GACAGCAGCAGCCACGGUAAUACGGAGGGCGCGAGCGUUACCCGGAUUUACUGGGCGUAAAGGGCGUGUAGGCGGCCUGGGGCGUCCCAUGUGAAAGGCCACGGCUCAACCGUGGAGGAGCGUGGGAUACGCUCAGGCUAGAGGGUGGGAGAGGGUGGUGGAAUUCCCGGAGUAGCGGUGAAAUGCGCAGAUACCGGGAGGAACGCCGAUGGCGAAGGCAGCCACCUGGUCCACUUCUGACGCUGAGGCGCGAAAGCGUGGGGAGCAAACCGGAUUAGAUACCCCGGUAGUCCCUGUCUCUUAUAU